rnacentral:rRNA from 1 species
UACGUAGGGUGCGAGCGUUAAUCGGAAUUACUGGGCGUAAAGCGUGCGUAGGCGGUUCGUUAAGUGCGUCGUGAAAGCCCCGGGCUCAACCUGGGAAUGGCGAUGGAAACUGGCGGGCUGGAGUAUGGCAGAGGGGGGUGGAAUUCCGCGUGUAGCAGUGAAAUGCGUAGAGAUCAUGAGGAAGACCAGUGGCGAAGGCGGGUCUCUGGACAGUUCCUGACACUGAGACACGAAGGCCAGGGGAGCAAACGGG